rnacentral:lncRNA from 1 species
CCAGGCACGUCCGGUUCUGCGGCCCCCACUCCGCCCCCGCCUGCCGGGAGCCGCGCAGUUACAAAGUGCCGGGAGCCGUGCAGGGCCAGUGAACCCCUCGCUGAGACUCAGUUUGCUGCCAUCACAAGUGCUCUGAGAAUCCUGGAGAGGGAGGAUAUUGGAGACAAACGGGACUGCUGCCCGCCUUUUAGGCGACCGUUGGAGGCUGCUCUGUGCCGGACACAGGCAGGGAAAAUGUCAGCCCCGCGAGGGAAAUGGCAAAGGGAAGAUGACAGCAGACGAGAGAAACAACAGCCCCACCUGACACAGCCAGGACCCUGCGGAGAGGCGGCAGGAGCCCCCACUUCCUCGGGACUCAGCCUCUGCACCCCGGGACUGCCCAUGGCCCCUCUGAGGGCUCUCCUCACUCCUUCCUCCCUCAUUAGGGAAGAGGCCAGUACCCAGCAGCCAUGGCCCAAGCGCAGGUGGUCUGUUCUGUGCACCCAGCAUCCCCCUAGGGUCUAAACCAGCUCCCACAGCUCAGAAGUCAGCGGAGCAGAGUCCCCAGGAAACCAGGGUCAGGGAUGGAGGCUGCUGAGGAGCGGGUCUGGGAGGUGGAGGCCAGAUACAAGAAAACCACAGUACCAGUAAAUGACAAAGGCUGGAUCUUAACCCAAGUCCUCCGACUCUGAAGGCCAUACCCAACAGGUCCCAUUUUAUUUGUUUUACUUUUUUUUAAUUGAAGAAAAAAAAACUAGCAUUCCCCUACAGUGCCCCCCACCUGGUGGGGACAUCUUGGGUUGGCAAGGCCACCACUUUCAAGAGUAGAAGUGUUUUUCAGCAGGAGGAGUUGGCUGCACCAAAGGAGCUCAGGAGAAGCUGGAGUCUCAGGCCCAGCAGGAACAGCCAGAGGUUUUGCAGCUUUGCCCAGCGGCUGGGUUCGCCGAAGGGUCUCCCUGGGGGUUCCCAGCAUGAGCCGAAGCCACCCUCCCCUGUGGGAUCUGUGAGGCCAGGCAUUGGGCCUCUUUAGGCCUCAGUUUCCUCCCCUGUCAUAGGCAACUGACAGUCCCUCUGGAGCGCCACUGGGGCUGCAGAGGGAGGCCGGAGAGAUGGUGCCCCCCCUCCUCCCCGCCACCCCCACACACAGCCCUCAGCAGGAUGGUGGCUGCCUGGCCGAUUGCUUUUGCAUUUGCAGCAGAGCGGGGGAGUGAGGCCAAGCUGAGUGCCCCCUCCCCCUGCCCAGCCAGCUCAGACCCAGGCGGUGGAGCAGGAAGGCUCUGGGGAAAACAGUGUGAGUCACCGGGCGGCCAGAGUGUGUCCUUCCCUGCUAGCGCACUACACGGCAGGUUUCAUAGCUUGACAGCAAAGUGUUUGAAAACGAAGAGCAGGAAUUCCGCGGUUCCUGCCCGGCCUCGCCAUCCAGCUG